rnacentral:ncRNA from 2 species
CGUGCCAAGGGGCGUUGCAUUGAAAAUAUUUUUUCAAUCAGGCUUGGUAAUCAAAACGACGCUCAUUUUUU